UACGUAGGUGGCAAGCGAUACUCGGAAUCACUAGGCGUAAAGCGCAGGUAGGCGGUUUGGUAAGUCUUUUGUGAAAGCUCCCGGCUCAACUGGGAGAGGUCCUUGCAUACUGGCGGACUUGAGGGGGGUAGAGGAAAGUGGAAUUCCCGGUGUAGUGGUGAUAUGCGUAGAUAUCGGGAGGAACACCUGUGGCGAAAGCGGCUCACUGGACCAUAACUGACGCUGAUGCACGAAAGCUAGGGGAGCAAACAGG
rnacentral:rRNA from 1 species